rnacentral:rRNA from 1 species
GAUGAACGCUAGCGACAGGCUUAACACAUGCAAGUCGAGGGGCAGCAUAAAAGUAGCAAUACUUUGGUGGCGACCGGCGCACGGGUGAGUAACGCGUAUGCAACCUACCUAUCAGAGGGGAAUAACCCGGCGAAAGUCGGACUAAUACCGCAUAAAACAGGGGCACCGCAUGGUGAUAUUUGUUAAAGAAAUUCGCUGAUAGAUGGGCAUGCGUUCCAUUAGGUAGUUGGUGAGGUAACGGCUCACCAAGCCGACGAUGGAUAGGGGAACUGAGAGGUUGGUCCCCCACACUGGUACUGGGACACGGACCAGACUCCGACGGGAGGCAGCAGUGAGGAAGAUUGGUCAAUGGGCGGGAGCCUGAACCAGCCGAGUCGCGUGAAGGAAGAAGGAUCUAUGGUUCGUAAACUUCUUUUGCAGGGGAAUAAAGUGCAGGACGUGUCCUGUUUUGUAUGUACCCUGAGAAUAAGGAUCGGCUAACUCCGUGCCAGCCGCCGCCGUAAGAC